rnacentral:piRNA from 1 species
UGAAAACACUCGGACAGUGAACAGUGUUGU